AAGAAAAGAAAAGAAAUUAAAAAGAAAACAAACUAUGGAUCAACAAAAAACCAAUAAAGUACAUAGCACCAUCCUUCUCUCUCACGUCUUCUUCUCCUAGUCAACUUCCCUACCCACUAUGAACAUCACCAACGAGACUCAAACCACUCUCGGAUGCUGGCAAAACAGCUGAUCAAUCCAACAAGCUUAGGCACGAGAGAAGAUGGGAUUAACGGUGGCUU
rnacentral:misc_RNA from 1 species